rnacentral:rRNA from 1 species
AUUGAACGCUGGCGGCAUGCUUUACACAUGCAAGUCGAACGGUAACAGGCCGCAAGGUGCUGACGAGUGGCGAACGGGUGAGUAAUGCAUCGGAACGUGCCCAGUCGUGGGGGAUAACUACUCGAAAGAGUAGCUAAUACCGCAUACGAUCUAUGGAUGAAAGCGGGGGACCGUAAGGCCUCGCGCGAUUGGAGCGGCCGAUGUCAGAUUAGGUAGUUGGUGGGGUAAAGGCUCACCAAGCCAACGAUCUGCAGCUGGUCUGAGAGGACAACCAGCCACACUGGGACUGAGACACGGCCCAGACUCCUACGGGAGGCAGCAGUGGGGAAUUUUGGACAAUGGGCGCAAGCCUGAUCCAGCAAUGCCGCGUGCAGGAAGAAGGCCUUCGGGUUGUAAACUGCUUUUGUACGGAACGAAACGGCUCUGGUUAAUACCCGGGGCUAAUGACGGUACCGUAAGAAUAAGCACCGGCUAACUACGUG